rnacentral:rRNA from 1 species
CCUACGGGGGUCAGCAGUGGGGAAUUUUGCGCAAUGGGGGCAACCCUGACGCAGCAACGCCGCGUGAGUGAUGAAGGCCUUCGGGUCGUAAAGCUCUGUCAGGGGGGAAGAAAUGCAGGUGGUGAACAACCAUUCUGUUUGACGGUACCCUCAAAGGAAGCACCGGCUAACUCCGUGCCAGCAGCCGCGGUAAUACGGAGGGUGCGAGCGUUGUUCGGAAUUAUUGGGCGUAAAGCGCGUGUAGGCGGUUUGUUAAGUCUGAGGUAAAAGCCCCGGGCUAAACCGGGGAAGUGCAUUGGAUACUGGCAGACUUGAGUACGGGAGAGGAGAGUGGAAUUCCCAGUGUAGGAGUGAAAUCCGUAGAUAUUGGGAGGAACACCGGUGGCGAAGGCGGCUCUCUGGACUGCCCCUGACGCUGAAGAGCGAAAGCUAGGGUAGCGAACGGGAUUAGAUCCCCUUGUAGU